CCUACGGGUGGCAGCAGUAGGGAAUCUUCCGCAAUGGGCGAAAGCCUGACGGAGCAACGCCGCGUGAAUGAUGAAGGUCUUCGGAUCGUAAAACUCUGUUAUUAGGGAAGUACAAAUGUGCAAGUAACUAUUCACGUCUUUACGGUAUCUAAUCAGAAAGCCACGGCUAACUACGUGCCAGCAGCCGCGGUAAUACGUAGGUGGCAAGCGUUAUCCGGAUUUAUUGGGCGUAAAGGGCGCGGAGACGGUUUUUUAAGUCUGAUGUGAAAGCCGACGGCUCAACCGUAGAAGUGCAUUUGAAACUGGCAGACUUGAGUGCAGAUGAGGAAAGUGGAAGUCCAUGUGUAGCGGUGAAAUGCGUAGAGAUAUCGAAGAACACCAGUGGCGAAGGCGGCUUUCUAGUCUGUCACUGACACUGAUGCGCGAAAGCGUGGGUAUCAAACAGGAUUAGAUACCCCUGUAGUC
rnacentral:rRNA from 1 species